UCAGGCUAGAUAUCUACCAACUGAUAAGCUGAGGCUUGUUUACAUAUUGCUAAACGCUGGAAUUUACUUCAUACAGGUUUGUAUCUGGAUUUUUCUCUGGUUGUAUAACAAUGAAGCAUUGGAAACCGUAGGACGGAUCUUUAUUGCAGCUGUCUCAUUUGUUGCUGCGAUCAGUUUCUUGUUUUACGGACGAAGAUUGUUUGUAAUGCUGAGACAGUUCCCAAUUGAAUCUAAAGGAAGAAGUAAGAAGUUAUACGAGGUCUAUACUCCGAGGAAUGCGCCUUAUGCUAAUGAGGAAAUUGAUGUGGUUCGUGAGCAAUGGUCUAUACUCCGAGGAAUGCGCCUUAUUAUUGGCCUGAGCGCGCUUGAUCGAGUUGGUUUAGAUGUUAUAGAACAAUCUUUUAUAUUAAAAUGUAUGCGUAUGUUGAA